rnacentral:rRNA from 1 species
AGGACGAACGCUGGCGGCGUGCUUAACACAUGCAAGUCGAGCGGAAAGGCCCUUCGGGGUACUCGAGCGGCGAACGGGUGAGUAACACGUGAGUAAUCUGCCCCUAGCUCUGGGAUAGCUCCGGGAAACCGGGAUUAAUACCAGAUACGACCACUUUAGACAUCUUCUGUGGUGGAAAGAACUUCGGCUAGGGAUGAACUCGCGGCCUAUCAGCUUGUUGGUGAGGUAACGGCUCACCAAGGCGACGACGGGUAGCCGGCCUGAGAGGGCGACCGGCCACACUGGGACUGAGACACGGCCCAGGCUCCUACGGGAGGCAGCAGUGGGGAAUAUUGCGCAAUGGGCGAAAGCCUGACGCAGCGACGCCGCGUGGGGGAUGAAGGCCUUCGGGUUGUAAACCCUUUCAGCAGGGACGAAGCGAAAGUGACGGUACCUGCAGAAGAAGCGCCGGCUAACUACGUGCCAGCAGCCGC